CGCUGGCGGCGUGCCUAAUACAUGCAAGUCGAACGCACAGCGAAAGGUGCUUGCACCUUUCAAGUGAGUGGCGAACGGGUGAGUAACACGUGGACAACCUGCCUCAAGGCUGGGGAUAACAUUUGGAAACAGAUGCUAAUACCGAAUAAAACUUAGUGUCGCAUGACACAAAGUUAAAAGGCGCUUCGGCGUCACCUAGAGAUGGAUCCGCGGUGCAUUAGUUAGUUGGUGGGGUAAAGGCCUACCAAGACAAUGAUGCAUAGCCGAGUUGAGAGACUGAUCGGCCACAUUGGGACUGAGACACGGCCCAAACUCCUACGGGAGGCUGCAGUAGGGAAUCUUCCACAAUGGGCGAAAGCCUGAUGGAGCAACGCCGCGUGUGUGAUGAAGGCUUUCGGGUCGUAAAGCACUGUUGUAUGGGAAGAACAGCUAGAAUAGGAAAUGAUUUUAGUUUGACGGUACCAUACCAGAAAGGGACGGCUAAAUACGUGCCAGCAGCCGCGGUAAUACGUAUGUCCCGAGCGUUAUCCGGAUUUAUUGGGCGUAAAGCGAGCGCAGACGGUUUAUUAAGUCUGAUGUGAAAGCCCGGAGCUCAACUCCGGAAUGGCAUUGGAAACUGGUUAACUUGAGUGCAGUAGAGGUAAGUGGAACUCCAUGUGUAGCGGUGGAAUGCGUAGAUAUAUGGAAGAACACCAGUGGCGAAGGCGGCUUACUGGACUGCAACUGACGUUGAGGCUCGAAAGUGUGGGUAGCAAACAGGAUUAGAUACCCUGGUAGUCCACACCGUAAACGAUGAACACUAGGUGUUAGGAGGUUUCCGCCUCUUAGUGCCGAAGCUAACGCAUUAAGUGUUCCGCCUGGGGAGUACGACCGCAAGGUUGAAACUCAAAGGAAUUGACGGGGACCCGCACAAGCGGUGGAGCAUGUGGUUUAAUUCGAAGCAACGCGAAGAACCUUACCAGGUCUUGACAUCCUUUGAAGCUUUUAGAGAUAGAAGUGUUCUCUUCGGAGACAAAGUGACAGGUGGUGCAUGGUCGUCGUCAGCUCGUGUCGUGAGAUGUUGGGUUAAGUCCCGCAACGAGCGCAACCCUUAUUGUUAGUUGCCAGCAUUCAGAUGGGCACUCUAGCGAGACUGCCGGUGACAAACCGGAGGAAGGCGGGGACGACGUCAGAUCAUCAUGCCCCUUAUGACCUGGGCUACACACGUGCUACAAUGGCGUAUACAACGAGUUGCCAACCCGCGAGGGUGAGCUAAUCUCUUAAAGUACGUCUCAGUUCGGAUUGUAGUCUGCAACUCGACUACAUGAAGUCGGAAUCGCUAGUAAUCGCGGAUCAGCACGCCGCGGUGAAUACGUUCCCGGGUCUUGUACACACCGCCCGUCACACCAUGGGAGUUUGUAAUGCCCAAAGCCGGUGGCCUAACCUUUUAGGAAGGAGCCGUCUAAGGCAGGACAGAUGACU
rnacentral:rRNA from 1 species